GGAAGUGAAUUGUUGCUUCUAAAGUUGGGAAAACACAAAAAUAUUUGCUUGUACUACUUAGAAUUACAUGUUGUAUAUGACAAGAAUUUUUCUUUUAACUCUCACUUCUUCUUCUACCCUUUUUUGUGGAUGAACAGUCAAAUGAAGGUGUAGUGGGGUGUCCGGUUUAGAGAAAAAGGCUUGUUUUAUUUUGUUGCCUGACCUUUUUGCUUGGCUUGCUGCAGCGAGGACCUUAUCCACGGAACUUCUUCUCUCCUCUGCUAUGGGGAUAUUCUCUUGAUUCUGCAUCAUUUAUAGGCAUUAUUGAGUACUAACUGGAUGUGGAAUUAAAUAGCUUACUAAAACCAAAGAAAGCGUCACUAUGAAAGUUGCUGCUGUGAUACUGCAAUCAGUUUUUUAAUACAUAAAGGGAAGCUUCAAGAGGAGAAUGCAGAGGUCAUGCACACAUCAAUAUGCAUCUGCAACAAGCUAUGGUAACUGAGGUUCUCCCCAGUCAGGUGUACUUUCUGUUGUGGCUGUGAAGUUGCCAAAACCAGUUCCCAAGCAUUGCAGGAGCCCAUCAUAUGCAAGUACAAUUUGUAUACCUAGUUUCCAUUGUUAUUCGAAGAUCUUGUUGAUAUCCUGUUUUGUGUACCAAUCAUUAAAGAGGCAUUCACCCGUCUUAAUACUAUGAAACAGGUGCUAGUUAUCAAUAUUUUAUAUCAUUUUCUCAAUGUGGUGUUGGGUCUUCUCUAAUGGUUGUGAUCGUUUACAACCGUAUUGUAAGUUGUUGGUUCAAGUCAUAGCUUACACCAUCAGUAUGAACUGUACAGACAAAUUUAAAGCAGCUGCAAACUGCUAUGUCUAGUAGGGUUAUUUUAUACUGCCA